CUAAAUAAAAAAUUUCUCAGUCCUAAUUAAUUUCUAUGAUUUCUAAUUAGCAUAAUUGCUCUAAAGUCCUAAUAUGCUAAAGAUCUAAAUCUAAUAUUCAUAUUAGGGGCUAAUUAACACAGCCAAGGGUAAUCUCGAGCCCAAUACCAACUCACAGGGAGAAGAGGUCCGUGCUAUACGCGUUUCAUCCCACAAACAAAAUCGGAAGGCUUAAUCCAUAUGCAUGUACUUCGACCCGAAAAACAUUCCUACACCGUGCCGGAGUCGCCUCCGGCGGCGAAAUUUCAACCAUACACUAUCAAACAACAACAUCUCCAUCUUAUGUUCAUCUACACGAAAUCCUUAAUCAACACAAACGGCUCAAAACCUUAAUUGCCUAUUUCAGAAAUUAAGCAUCGACCAGUUGGAAUUAGAACCCCAGGUGCGAGGGCUUGGCUUCCGUUCACGUCAGGCUAUAAAUUGGUAACAAGAAAAACGUGAAUCAAGUACGAUUUCCUACCUGCGAGGAGGAGAAUUUCCUCGGUGAUUGUUGAAUUCGGAACUGUGGACGAAUGUGCCGAACCUGUAUGAAGAUCCUCAGGUACUCUUGCGACGCCCCUCUCCUUCCUCUUCAUGGCCUGCUGCUUGAUUAUUCUGGUGUGGCAGUUCAGGUUUAAUGAUUGCGUUCUGCCGUCUUACGUAGGUAUGCCAGUUGCAUUGCGUUUCAUUUCAGCAGGUCGAAUUUGCGGUCGAAGGGGUGAAAUUUAGAGAGCUUGGUGUAGAUUUGAAAUGGAUAACUUGUAUAUGUUAUAGGGCCCGUUUGUUUUGGCUUUUUUUAAAAAUGAUUUUUAUAGUGUUAUAUAUUUUAGUAUAAAAAAAAUUUACAAAGAAAUUUUUCAUAAAAGCUUCAAAUGAAAAUUUUGUUUAAAUAGUUAUUCUUAAAAUGUUAUUUUAGGCAUUUUAUCAUUUUAUCGAAACUUUUUUUGGAUAUCAAAAUUUCAAAAAAUCACUUAAUUUUGAAACUAUUUCAAAUAGCUUUUUCUAAAAAUCAUUUUUGAGAUACAAUUUUUUUAAAAAAUUGUGAUUUUAACUAUAUUUUGAUCUUCAAUAAUGUAUAUUUAUAUUAUACAAUGGACAAUUCAAUCUUUUAAUUUAUAAAAAAUAAAUUUAGAAAAACUUAUAAUAUUUUGAAAAACAUUUUUGUAAAAUCCAUUUUCAAAAAUACAAAGAAAAAAUCCAUUUUUUUAAAGCUAAAACAAACUGGCCUUUAAUUUGGUUUGUGUAGAUUGAAAAUUGGUUUGGUUAAGUUGAGUGUUAGGUGAAGUUAAUUGGAAUUAUUUGCUGAGGCAUGUUAGUUUGUUUAGAAACUGUUAGUCUAGUAAGAACAGUAGAUGGAAAAUAAGUUAACAAGGGUUUAUGCUAAUGGUUUUUUAGCGGCUAAUGGUCUGCUAUUUUCUAUGGAAACCCUGUUAAAAAAGAUUGCAUAUUAGUAACUACUUUGGAAACUGCAUAAAUUGCUUCAAUGCCCUGUUGAAAUCUCA